CGACAUGACAGAGUGCUCUCUCCACUUCUUCCACUAGAUCAGAGCAUUGGGGAAACUAGAAAUGAGAUGCACGUGGUCCUUCUCCUUGACAGGCACAGCAGGAACAGUGCCUGUCUGCACCGCAGAGCUGCCUGAUUAAUGGUAGCAGUUAUUGAAAGAGCGCCAGACCAAGAGUGAAGUAAAUGCAGACAACUGAUUUGUUAAAAGACCUUAUGAGGUCUGGAGGUUAAAUACUUAUUUGGAAGGAUCAAGAUACAGUCAAA
rnacentral:lncRNA from 1 species